CAUGGAGGGUGCCCCUGGGGGAGGGUCGCCCCCAUGGAAGAGUCCAACCUAGCGGCUGGGAGCAGGGCCGGGGGGGCAAGAGGGAGCCAGAUGUUCGGUCUCCCCCUCCUCCCCGCCCAGAGCUCGGAGCUGACCCUGAGUCAGAAGUGAAGGCCAAGCUGCAGACCCUGACCUGCUGGAGCUGUGCCACACGGUGCCCAUGGAGGUCACUCACCUGGGUGAGGGCCUCUGCCUUGGCACAGGGAGUAGGGAGGCAGGGGGAGGCGAUCUUCCCCAUUUCUCUGGGCUGGGGCAGCUAGAGGAGGAAGGGAGCGGGUCGGGGGAGGCAGGGUAGCUCUGGUCGUGCUUGGGAUGGGAGGAGGAAAAGAGGGACAGAGUAGGGCUGAGAGAGCUGCCCCAGGCCCUAAGCCGCCCCGUCCCCGAUUCCCAGGGGGCAAGGGCUAUGGCGCAGAGGAAGAGGAUGACUUCGCCGCCUUCCACACCUGGCUGCGCUGCUACUCCGUGCCCGGCAUGAGCUCGCUGCGGGACGGCCACGGCAGAACCAUCUGGUUCUACGGGGAUCCUGGGCCCCUGGCCCCCAAAGGUGAGCCUAGUCUUCAUUCCCUAGGAGGGAUUUGCGGUUAAUCGUGGUGGUAAAGGGACCCGGCUACAGCAGGAGGCGGGGAGCGGGGACUAGAGGAGCGAGAGAGAGAGUCUCUGGCACCGGCGCCCUUUGAUCCUUAACCAAGGAGUAGACUGCCCUGUCUGGCCUGGGGGCUGGUUAGAUUGCCCAGAGGCAGGAUGGGGGGACCAGUUGGCCUCUGUGGGGUGCCUAGGAUUCCUUUCAUUCUAAAUAACUGCAGUGGUAUUGCACCUCAGCGUUUUUGAUUGGAGUGAUCCUUUUGCGCCCACCCUCAAGGGGGGAGCCCAGAGGGCCCAGGGCUGAGGUGACCCUGUGAACCCCACGUGAGUGAAUACGCGGCCACUAUCCUUUCCAUCCUGCAGGAGAAGAAACGCCGAGGGGGUCGCACCAAGGGGAAAGCCGGGCCUGACUUCAACACCACUGAUGCAGAAGACACGGAACCCACCCGCCCUAGAAAUGGCCCCAGGGCAGGUCGACGCUCAAGCAGGAAGGCGCGGAAGGAGACGGCCAGCACUGGGACCCCGGGGCCUGAGGGAGCCGGUGAAAGAGGCGAGGAGUCCGUCCCAGGGGCCGGAGGAAACCAACCCGCCCCCGAAGACAGUUCGGCCACCGGGGAGAGGGAGCCGCCGCGCCACGCCGGGACUUGGGUAAGAGUUCCGCCUGGGGGUCCGCCUGGCGAAAGCCCCUCUCCUCCCCUGCUCCGGGGUUGCCCCCCCCGCCUCAGACCCCUGCCUGGAGAUACCCCACCCCCGAUGGUAGGAAAGCCUUUCAAGCACAGGAUGGGCUGCCCCCCUUGGUUUGGAUGGUGGGGGGCCCUUCUCCUGCCCGAAGGUUGGAGCCCGGACCAGCUGACUCCUCUCAGCCCCAGCAAGAUAAGCACGAUUCUUUGGGCUUCCCACUCCUCCAGCUCUAAACCCCCUUCUGGCUUCUGCUAGCCUAGACUGGGAAGGUGGAGAGAGGGGGAGGGACUGGGUGUGGAAGUUUUAUUCUGGAAGCUUUUGGGGCAGGACCCCCACAAGGAGGGCAGCUGUGAGGUGG
rnacentral:lncRNA from 1 species